rnacentral:rRNA from 2 species
ACACGGCCCAGACUCCUACGGGAGGCAGCAGUAGGGAAUCUUCCGCAAUGGACGAAAGUCUGACGGAGCAACGCCGCGUGAGUGAUGAAGGUUUUCGGAUCGUAAAGCUCUGUUGUUAGGGAAGAACAAGUAUCUGUUGAAUAAGCAGGUACCUUGACGGUACCUAACCAGAAAGCCACGGCUAACUACGUGCCAGCAGCCGCGGUAAUACGUAGGUGGCAAGCGUUGUCCGGAAUUAUUGGGCGUAAAGCGCGCGCAGGCGGUUCCUUAAGUCUGAUGUGAAAGCCCACGGCUCAACCGUGGAGGGUCAUUGGAAACUGGGGAACUUGAGUGCAGAAGAGGAGAGCGGAAUUCCACGUGUAGCGGUGAAAUGCGUAGAGAUGUGGAGGAACACCAGUGGCGAAGGCGGCUCUCUGGUCUGUAACUGACGCUGAGGCGCGAAAGCGUGGGGAGCGAACAGGAUUAGAUACCCUGGUAGUCCACGCCGUAAACGAUGAGUGCUAAGUGUUAGAGGGUUUCCGCCCUUUAGUGCUGCAGCAAACGCAUAAGCAC